CUGUUCUAGAUUCUGAGACGGGAGGCUCACUUAGCCCAGGCUGGCCCCACAUUUGAUAUAUAUGUGAGGAUGACCUUGAACUUCUGGAUCUUUUGUUUUCACUUCCAGUUGCUGGGAUCACAGGAGAGCACCACCACAUUUAGUUUAUUCAGUGCUGGAGAGCUAACGCAGGGCCUUGCACAUGCCAGGCAAGCAUUUUCCCAUUUCUCAUUUAACUGAGCUACAUACACAGCUCUAAGUUUUAAAUUCUUGACCUACUUCUGAAAAGUGACUUUUUUUUUUAAAUCUGCAGUUUGAAUAAGCAACCAGUGUAUGAGAUUGGGUGCCAAAGAUAUCUGAGACUUUGUCAGCAAGUUAUUCACCAAAGAGAAAAGAGGGCAUUCUUAGGCCUGGGAGUAGAAGUGCAUUGGUAGAAUAUCAGACUGGCAUAUAUAAAGCCCUAGGUUUGAUCACUUUAAUAGGAAUUUUUCUCCAGUGGAGGAGGUAUCUCAGCUUUAGACACAUCCUCUCAGUGCCAAGAAGCCAGCCAGCUAGUGACUGGCAGGCAGGGGGAAAGCAGGUUUUUUGUUUGUUUGUUUGUUUGUUUUGUUUGUUUGUUUUUUAAAGAUAACUCUACUGAUGGUUACCUUUCUGUGAUCGGCCUUGUAAUUUCAGAACAUGGAAAUACCAACCAGCUUUCCUAAAGCAAGCACUGCCUUGUUGUACCAACUGGGUUGUGAACCUAAGAACUUGGUCAGAAUUUGUGUGAAUGUGUAGAGAGGAGUUAUUUUUCAUGCUUUGAAAAUGCUUUCCUUUUCAAAUAAAGUAUCUUUUGAGAUGAUUUACUUGUGCAUCUUGGAAGGCCUUAAUGCCUGGCAUGUACACUUUGUGUGACAGAGGCUCCAAAGAGCUUGACUUAUAAAAGCCACGACCAUUCUUGGAUGAAAGAGGUAUCUUUGAGGUUAAGAUUAGACAUUCUUUUUUUUUUUAAAAAAGAUUGAGAAAUUUGAAUCUAGAAAUUCAUCUUUUGGUGAAAUCAUUAGCUUUCCAAAUGCUAAUUAGGUUUUGGGGCUUGAUUCUGUGUUCACUAGCCCACUCCAGUUCCUGGGGGUAUGUUCUUUCUCCAUAAACUAUAUUUCUCCUUCUAAAGAGGAGGAGGAAUGGAGGAAAAUGCUAAUGAAUUUGAGCUGAAUUAUCUUUUCCCCCAGACAAUCCCCUGGCGCCUAGGGAAUUAUCUCUAAAGCAAUUUUUGUCUUGAGCCUUAAGUCUCUGGGAAGAAUAAAGCAUUGACUAGGGAGUCAUUCUUCAAAUAGGUAUCCCCAAAAGCAUCCUAUUUGGAGUUGAGAGCUGAAGGCCUCUAAUCUCCAUUGGCAUCUAAAUGCUUUUAAAUACCAAAAAUCUUUAAAGUAGAUCUCCAAAGGCAUUUUAAAACUCAUAUAGCAUAGUCUUAACAUUGGCAGCUUUUUCUACUGUUUUUCCUAAGAACUUGAAUCAGAAGGUACGUUAGUGAUCUAGAGAAGGAACCUGAAGUCUACUUGAAAUAGAUGGAUAUAGGUUAUCAAACAGUGUUGGUAUGAGCUAGAAUGGGGAGUCAUGGAUUCAAACCUUAGUUCUGCCAUUUACCUACUGUAUAGAACUUGGCGAAACCAAAUCUCCUCUAAAAUGGACUUAAUAAAGCACUUACCUGAGAGUUCUAGAGAUUGUGUGUUUAAAGUGCUUAAACUGCCUAGCAUUUCUACAAAAGGGAGUUUCCUGUAUUUCCGGCCAGAUAACACAGGGUUGUAGUUGCUAACAGCCAUGAGAAUAUGUAAUGAAGUAUUAUGAAACAAUAAAUUACAUUUCUUGAGGUCGUAGCACUUUUCAUGUAAUUGCAGGAAAGAUGAUGAAAACAUAAGUAACAUUUCGUUGUGGAGACAGGACCUCACUAUGUAGCCUAGACUGGCCUUGAACCAGCAGUCCUUCUGUCUCAUCCUCUGACAUGCUAGGAUUGCAGGUGUAAACCAUCAUGUCCGACUUUGAAAACAAGAGGAAAAUAAGUUAUUUAUAGUGCUAGAUUUUUAAAAACUUUUUUAUUACAUUUAUUUACUUACUACAAAGAGGCAGUGCACACAGCAUGCACUGAAGGUCAAAGGACAGUUUGUAGAAUUCAGUUCUCAUUGUCUACCAUGUAGGUCCCUGGCUUAUCAGCGGGAUAUGAUAAGUCCUGAGCCAUCUUGCCUUCCCAGCACUAUCAGUGCAAUGGCUAUUUUCAUAUUGUUUUCCAUCCUUCAUCUAUGUACUUAUGUGUUUUACAGUCUAUGGUUAUAUAAUCAAUGACGCUCAUUUCUGUGACUCCUGGACUCCACCCAGAUUGCCAGUUAGAUAGAAGGCCAACACUACAGUGUUUGUGGCUCUCAUGUUCCGAGGAAUUGCCCUCAUGGGAUGUCACCUUGCUUGAGAACAUAUAUACACCUUCCUUGGGUGUUGCCCAUUUCUAGAUACCAGUGCAUGGGGAAGGAAACAGGGCAAGGCCCCGUUGUCUCCAGUCAACCAAACUCUAAAGGGCCGUCUAGCCCCAGAUCCUCCUGUGAAACUGGCUGAGGCCUCUCUCUCUGCAGUGAGUUGGCACUGCCGUUCAACUCUGCCCAAUCCUCCUUCCCUUGUUCUUCUCAAAAAUCCUGUGCCUCUCACCCGAUCUCUUGUAGACAUACCAUAGUCUCAGAGCCUGUUCCUCAAGGAAUCCCAUGUGUGACCGUGUCUGUCAUACCCAUCACUAACUAGCUUGCUGUACAUAGGCUGUGGUGCUGGGAAAGGAGUCUGUAGCAUUGUGAUAGGCUUGAACUAGAAAGGGUGAGUCUUAAAAUUGGAAUGAUUUUGUUCUGCAGGAAACAUUCAGCAGUGUUUGGAGGCAUUUUUGGUUUUCACAGCUGGUAGCUAGAUCCUGAAUAUGCUGAUAGUUCUUCUAUAAUGUGCAGGCUUGUCCUUCACAGCAGAACACUUUUCUGCCGUGACCCCUUCUCUCUCUAGCUCUUGCUUCCCGGUCGCUAUGUGAACGGGUUCCUUCUCUCUGCUUCUUCCGUUUGUUUCAGGUCCAAAAGCAGAGAGGCCAGGCUUCUGGGGACUGAAACCCUUGACACACAAGCCAAAUAAGCCCUUCCUCUUUUUAAGUGGGUCGCGCCAGGGAUGAAGGGCUAAGCUGCUGUCUUUCUGUGUCUCUUCAGCAUGGUAGUUUUGCUUGUUUCACCAACAGAAGAAGGCUGUGGUGAAGUUAGCGUUGUGGCAUGAGUGCCUUAGAACUCAAGCCUUACUCACCUACAAAGUGAGCCGGGACCUGAGGACAAAAAUUCCGCUGUGCUGUCCCCGGAUAAAGUCAGAUUCACUGCCUCAGAGACAGAAAAAGUGUGAGAACGGCUUGAUCCCUGCGGGACCAUUCACCUGAAGCAUUUGGUGUUUAGUUUGACUCCGGAAAUGGAAACUUGAAAAAAUAGCCGGUGUGAUCAUGUUGCAUGCUUUCAAGCCCUGCCAAAGUCAUUUACAAUAGAGUGUGCCAACCUGUUCCUCUGUCCUUAAGAUCACACAUCCUGGGCUUCCAAAGCCACUGGACAGUUUAUUCAGGGGUAAUGAGAGGUUCUUUGUCCUGCAGUGCCUUUCAGCCCCAAAUAAACACACAGACGCUAUAUUAAUUAUGAAAUUGUUGGCCGGUGACUAGGGCUUCUAAUUGGCUAACUGUCUUAAUUAUUAACCCAUUUCUAUCAAUCUAUGUAUUGCCACGAGGUUGUGGCCUACCCGGGAGUGCCCAGCAUGGUGUUAGUCCUUCAGCAGCAUCACAACUGGUGGCAGCCUCAGUCUGCCUAUCUUUACCAGAAUUCUCCUUCUGGUUCCCUCUAUCUUCCUGCCUUAUUGGCCAACAGUGUUUUAUUCGUCAACUAAUAAGAGAACAUAUACAGGACACUCCCCAUCAUUCAGCUAGUGUGUAGAAAGAAACAGGAAACGUGUCUCCAAGUUUUGAAAUUUUUAUGAUGUCACUGUCCUCUGCUUUCUCCUAAAGCUGGUGGUUCAUUCAGGUCAGUUCUGCUGAAACAGCUCGUUCACUGUGUUGGAAGUAGUCUGAGCUCUGCAGCUUCUAGCCAGUUAGUCAGGAGUGUGGCUCCGGCCAGGGCUGACUCAUUGCCUCAGAAGGGGAGACCAGCUUCCUGAUUCACUUAGGCCAAAGAAGCCUCCCUCUGUGUCUGUGUCUUUGUCUCUCUGAGUCUCUCUGUCUGGCUCUCUCUGUGUGUUCUAUAAAUCUUGGCUACAGGUGCAGGUCUCAUGUAAUUUCCGGUGGUGAAAUUUCAAGACUCGCUGGAGGGAUGGCUCUUCUCAGUAGGAGGACAAUUCAGUGACUCACACUUAGAUACCAACAACAAAGGAGACUCACAAGAGGAGGAAAUGAAACAAUGAGGUACCUGUUACCCACCCAGGGCAGCAUUUCAAGCCAGACAGGACAUGAACUGGAAUGAAGCCCUCUUGGCUCUUAACAUAUGGUCUUUCCACUGCUCAACUCUGUAAGGAUGGAUGAACAAUUUAUGUAAAUUGAAGGCAUUUUAGGGAUUGAGCUUGGGUCGCUAAACUUGCAAGACAUGAAUUUCUUAAGAAAUGUUUGCUGUGAUUUGAUUUGAAUUGGAAAAGCUGCUGUCCCUUAGAUGAUCGCUGCCGGGAUCCUAGACCCCCAGUGAGAGACAAGGGUCAAGUGAAGCAGUGGCUACUGUGGCAGUAAAUAAAGGAACCCGGGGAAUCACAGCAUGGCAAACCUAAACCAAGAUGUGCUGAGGGUAAAAACGCAGCACUUUCAGCUGUGUUUGCACCAGGAAUUCAUGGAAGUUUGAACAGUUCCAGCUGACAUCACUGGAGAGUUGGAGCUGACCUGUUCUUGAAGUUUGGAAGCAGUUCUAGAUCUGCUGUGGUGUGUGGAGGACAACGUGAGCAGAAGGAAGAAGACCAGGUGAAGAUUUGCGUGUAGCUUCCUGUUUAGCAAUGCAAAACACUGCUUACUACAGACCUGCAAGCAAGGUACUGGGUGAGGCACCUUCAGCACACAGCGAUGGGGUCUCGGGGCCAUCUGUGUGCAAUGGCAUGCAUUGACGAUCAGUAAGACAAUUUAUCGCUUCUGAGAAAUCAGUGCCGCAGGUGCGGUAAGGUCGUGAUGAUGGUUAAAGAACUAAGUAAUAAAUGUUAGCAUUCAGGCAUUAUGCUGGCCUGCCCCUUGGGGACCUGGCAGGACGCGUCAUCCCUGCUCAUCUGUGCUUGCCAGUACUCAGGCAGUACUCUGGCCUGCUCAGGGUCCUGACAACGUCAUCUGGCCACUACAACAAAUGCAUCCCCUCACAAAAGGUGGCCCCACCCGCCUCCUGUCUCUUCUCUUCCUCCGUUCCCAUCUUCAGAGGCAGGUUUCCCCUACUCCACUUUCCCCACUCCCCUCCCCCAAUAAACUCUCACUGUGAACCCUG